rnacentral:lncRNA from 1 species
GUCACAAUACUGGCUCUACUGUCCUGCCUAGAAACUUUUGUGGAAGGAGAUUCCAGCACGAUUGAACACCCAGGUCCCAAUGCCUCUCCUGAAAAAAGAGCAAAUUACUACUUCCAAUGUUAUAGACAAUUCCGUAGGAAACGGCCUCAAAGUAGGGACAUUAUGGACACAGAAGCCCAGCUAGCUGAGAGGCUGGAGACAGCAGAA